AACGAACGCUGGCGGCAGGCCUAACACGUGCAAGUCGAACGCUCUCUUCGGAGGGAGUGGCAGACGGGUGAGUAACACGUGGGAACCUACCCCUUGGUACGGAAUAACUGAUGGAAACGUUAGCUAAUACCGUAUGAGCGCUGAGGCGGAAAGAUUUAUCGCCAAGGGAUGGGCCCGCGUAGGAUUAGCUAGUUGGUGGGGUAAAGGCCUACCAAGGCGACGAUCCUUAGCUGGUCUGAGAGGAUGAUCAGCCACACUGGGACUGAGACACGGCCCAGACUCCUACGGGAGGCAGCAGUGGGGAAUAUUGGACAAUGGGCGCAAGCCUGAUCCAGCCAUGCCGCGUGAGUGAUGAAGGCCUUAGGGUUGUAAAGCUCUUUCACCUGGGAAGAUAAUGACGGUACCAGGAGAAGAAGCCCCGGCUAACUUCGUGCCAGCCGCCGCCGUAAUAC
rnacentral:rRNA from 1 species